rnacentral:rRNA from 1 species
GACGAACGCUGGCGGCGUGCCUAAUACAUGCAAGUCGAGCGGAAUGAUGAAGAAGCUUGCUUCUUCUGAUUUUAGCGGCGGACGGGUGAGUAACACGUGGGCAACCUACCUUGUAGAUUGGGAUAACUCCGGGAAACCCGGGGCUAAUACCGAAUAAUCCAUUUUGCUUCAUGGCGAGAUGUUAAAAGGCGGCUUCGGCUGUCACUACGAGAUGGGCCCGCGGCGCAUUAGCUAGUUGGUAGGGUAAUGGCCUACCAAGGCGACGAUGCGUAGCCGACCUGAGAGGGUGAUCGGCCACACUGGGACUGAGACACGGCCCAGACUCCUACGGGAGGCAGCAGUAGGGAAUCUUCCACAAUGGACGAAAGUCUGAUGGAGCAACGCCGCGUGAGUGAAGAAGGUUUUCGGAUCGUAAAACUCUGUUGUAAGGGAAGAACACGUACGAGAGUAACUGCUCGUACCUUGACGGUACCUUAUUAGAAAGCCACGGCUAACUACGUG